CAAUACUGUACUCCUUCAAAAAAUUUAUGCAUAUAAACAGCUUUACUACUUCUAAUGGAAUUAUUCAAGUUUUUAAACACAUGUAUAUGUGUUUAAGCACUUUGGUAGAAUAGAUCAUGAAUCAUAAUGGAAUCGUAGAAUCUUUUUGAAGGUUCUCUUUUGUUUGGUUCUCUUUUGUUUCAGUCUUGUUUUCUUCUCUUCUAAGUUAAUGCGGGAUCAGGCAACAAUUUCUGAUGAGAAAGUUACGGAAGUAGAUGUACAUCCUUUAUCAUGACCACAGUUGCUAAGACCAGAUUAUAGUGAUUAUUCAGGAUUAUACAGUAAAGCGGUAAUGUGAAUAGACAUGCACAUCAUGUCUGACAUUUGCAAAGUGGUGGAUAUCAUUAAGAAGUACAUCAAGAUCACAAAACCCUCCAUUUACUAUACAUACAUUUUAAUACCCUGUACUGCAUGGGGAACUAACAAUGUCAUCUGUAGUUAAGUUUUACUGACGCUUCCAGUUGCCAGGCCCUUUUCAUUUGCUUUAUUUUAGUUCGGUCCUAAAGCUGAUUUUUUUAACUUGAGAUGAAUUGCCUGAAGCUGACAUUUUUGGGGAGUCUAAGAUGAAACAUUUCAGCUAUACCUGAGAGCAACGCUGGCAUACAAGUGACUAACUUUUCUUAAAAUAAAAUAAAGCUCUACUGGCCGUUUUAUUGGUAUCAGCUCCAUACUUCAGAACAAAGAUUAAAAAUAAAUGAAAAGCCUCUGAAACCCAUUUAGUGUCCUUACACAUUUUUUUGAGAACUGUUUUCAUGAAUGAGUCUGCACUGCACUAAAGUGGUAAAUGAGUAAAUUCAGAAGCUGAUGGGGAAUUUUAUCUGCAACUGCAGCCACGGAUCCUUACUUUGUUGUGGUUAGUAAUAGUUCAUUUAUGCUAUUUGAGGUUAGAAAUAAAUUCAUUUUUGUCAUACAGCUGGUGCCAUGACAUGCUAGCAAGCUAUGAGCAAGUGACUUUACUUCUGCAACAAAGAUCUGUAAAUCAGAGAAUAAUAAUGUGCAUUACUUGUGGAAUUUCACAGAAGAAUUGUCUUGGGAGAAAGAAGCUGCAAGAAUUGCAACAUUCUGAUGGCAAAUACAAAACGCACUAUGUCAAAGAAGGUAUUGCAGAAACUAAGAGGAGGACAAAAGAGGACAAAGGAGAAGAAAAGAAUGAAAAAGAAGUCCAAGCUUCUAUCGAGAAACGGUCAAGACCACAACAGGUUCUUAUUCAACCCUAG
rnacentral:lncRNA from 1 species